rnacentral:rRNA from 1 species
UCCGAGGUGAGGCCACGGCCGAUCCGCAUUACCAAAGGAGGUGCCGAGAAAAGAUCCGGUGCAUGCUAAGCAACCCGUACCGUAAACCGACACAGGUGGGUGGGUAGAAUAUACCAAGGCGUAAGAGUGAACCCUGGUUAAGGAACUCGGCAAAUUGGCCCCGUAACUUCGGGAGAAGGGGUGCCUAUGUUUACAUAGGCCGCAGUGAAAUGGCCCAACCGACUGUUUAGCAAAAACACAGCAUUCUGCCAAGCCGCAAGGCCAAGUAUAGGAUGUGACACGUGACCAAUGCGGAAAGAUUAAGGUAAGAUGUUAGCAGCAAUGCGAAGCUUUGAACCCAAGUCCCCGUGAAUGUCGGCCGUAACGAUAACGGUCCUAAGGUAGCGAAAUUCCUUGUCGGGUAAGUUCCGACCUGCACGAAUCGUGAAACGAGUUGGGCGCUGUCUCAACCAGGUGCUCAGUGAAAUUGUAAUGGCGGUGGAGAUGCCGCCUACCCGCAGAAGGACGGAAAGACCCUAUAGACCUUAACUGUAAGCUGUCAUUGGUUUUUCGAUUUUCAUGCUCAGCAUAAGUGGGAGACUUUGAUGCCGUUCUUUAGGGGACGGCGGAGUCGCCAGUGAGAUACCACCCUUGGGUGUUGGAAGAUCUAACCUCGGUCCCGUGAAUCCGGGCGAGGGACAUUGUCAGCCGGUCAGUUUUACUGGGGCGGUAUCCUCCCAAAGAGUAACGGAGGAGCGCGAAGGUGGGCUCAGCACGGUCGGUAACCGUGUGUCGAGUGCAUAGGCAUAAGCCCGCCUAACUGUGAGACCUACAAGUCGAGCAGAUACGAAAGUAGGCCUAAGUGAUCCGGCGGUUGAAUGUGGAGUUGCCGUCGCUCAACGGAUAAAAGGUACCUUAGGGAUAACAGGCUGAUUUCAUCCAAGAGUUCAUAUCGACGAUGAAGUUUGGCACCUCGAUGUCGGCUCGUCGCAUCCUGGGGCUGGAGAAGGUCCCAAGGGUCCGGCUGUUCGCCGGCUAAAGCGGCACGCGAGCUGGGUUCAGAACGUCGCGAGACAGUUCGGUCCUCUAUCCUCUGUGGGCGCAGGAAAAUUGAGGGGUUCGGUUCCUAGUACGAGAGGACCGGAAUCGACAUACCUCUGGUGCACCGGUUGUCCUGUCAAGGGCAUGGCCGGGUAGCUAAGUAUGGAAUAGAUAAGCGCUGAAAGCAUCUAAGCGCCAAGCUACUCCCAAGAUGAAUUUUCCCUUAAGGAUCGUCGAAGACUACGACGUUGAUAGGCUUCAGGUGUAAGUGCAGUAAUGUAUUCAGCCGAGAAGUACUAAUCAUCUG